UACUGCAUUCAUGUUUGCCAAAAAUCUUAACAGAUGAUUCUAUUCUUGAUUCUGAUAACACAGCUGUUUAUAUUGCUGCCAGUAGGAAAGGAACAGAUUAAAAGUGACUGCUGAUGAUCUUGGAGCCUGAAUUCGCAGAAUGAAACAGAAGAUCAUACACCUUUCAUAACUUUGUGGCAGAAAAAUUGGGAAUGUAAGACUGGAAGAGACCUGCUGGAUCACUGAAUUCAGCAUAUACUGAUAGGAAACUAGGCAUUUCCUCCUGCAUGUGGUCUAGAGGCACUACCCUGGAACUGAUCACUGAUCUACAGCAGCAGUUUACAACAGCAGAAAAACACAGAUCGCCUAAACAACCAAACAUACAGUUCUCUGCCCUUUCUUCAUCAGAAGUAUGUCAGUGUAGCACUGAAGGUGUUCAAGUCUUAAAUAGCCUGAACUGGUGUUGAGAGCUAAAAGAGCAGGCGAGGGUAAGCCGUGGGUGUUAGGUACAUUGCAAGAGCCAGAACUGACAUAAAGCUCAUAAAGU